rnacentral:rRNA from 1 species
GCACGCUGCGUUCCUCAGUCCCCCAGGAUGUAUCCAACGGAAAGCUAUAACACAGCCGAGACUGCUACCUUCAAACCGUCAUUAUCCACCCCGGAAAACUGAUGCUGGCCUGCAAACCGAAGCAAGCUCCGGCAAGCAAGUCUGACUUCAAGCGUUUCCCUUCCAACAAUUUCACGUACUGUUAACUCUCUUUCCAAAGUGCUUUUCAUCUUUCCCUCACGGUACUUGUUCGCUAUCGGUCUCUCGCCAAUAUUUAGCUUUAGAUGGAAUUUACCACCCAAUUUGAGCUGCAUUCCCAAACAACUCGACUCAUUGAAAGUGUAUCACAAAGCGCUGGGCGUCCGCACCAUAUACGGGGGUUUCACCACUAUGCCGCUGUAUUCCAACAGACUUGUGUGCGGUCCAACGCGGAAAACACUUCUAGAGAUUACAACUCGGACACCGAAGGUGCCAGAUUAUAAAUUUGAGCUCUUCCCGCUUCGCUCGCCGCUACUAGGGG